AUAGAAUUUCAGCCAGACCUUGAAGGAUGAAGGGGAUUUGGAGACCCAAGGAAGGUCCUUGUAAACAAGUUCGGCUUCAGGAGAAAACUAAAAGAAAUGCCUUGUGGAAGUUGGUGACAUUUUCCUCAAGAAAUCCCCAUGAGACUGAAGAAAGAAAUCAAUGAGGAACCUACAACCUGGCAAUAUGCUGUGUUGAGAGAACUGAGAGAGUGGACCUGGCAAGUCAAUUGAAUGGAAGCCACAGAAGAACCUUCCACUAUUCUGGGAAAACUUUGGUCUCUCCUUCUUCAGACCUAGGAUACCAUCAAGAAAGUGAAAAAACCUGCAGAAGGGAAGAAAAUAUUUGCAGAUCAUAUGUCUGGCAAGGUUGUAAUAUCCAGAAUAUAUAAAUAAUUCUUACAACACAACAACAAAAAGACAACCCCUUGAGAAAAUGGGCCAAGGACGUAAAUAAAUGUUUCUUCAAUUAAGAUACAAAUGGUCAAUAAGCACAUGAAAAGAUACUCAACAUCAUCAGCCAUUAGGGAAAUACAAGUCAAAACCAAAAUGACACUUCACAUUCACUAGGAUGACAAUUAUCAAAAAGAUAAUGGCAAGUGUUGAUAAGGAUGUGGAAACAUUGGAAUCCUCAUAUAUUGGUGCAAGGAAUGUAAAAUGGCACAGCUGCUUUGGAAAACAAAGUGGCAGUUUUCAAAUGGUUAAGCAAAUACUAUAUGACCCAGCAAUUCCACUCCUAGGUGUCUACUCAAAAGAAAUGGAAAUGUAUGUCCAUGCAAAGAUGUGUAUAUAGAUAUUCAAAAUAGCAUUAUUCAUAGUAGCCAGAAAGUAGAAACAAUCCCAGAGGUUGGGGUUCAACAGAUAAAUGGGGUUCAACAGAUGAAUGAAUAAAUAAAAUGUGGCAUAUUCCUACAAUGUAACAUCAUUUGGCCAUAAAAAGGAAUGGAGUACUGGUAUACCAUAUUUGACUGAAACUUGAAAACAUACCAAGUGAAAGAAGCUGGUCACAGAAGGCCUGCAUGAUCUCAUUUAUAUGCAGUGUCCAGAAGAGGCAAAUAUAUAGUGACAGAAGAGUUUGUAGAUUGCCAGGCCGGGCCAAAGGAGGGAAUGAGGAGUGACUGCUAAUGGGCGUGAGGUGAUGAAAACGUUCUAACAUCGGAUUGUGGCAAUGGUUGCACGACUCUGUGAAUAUAU